UACGUAGGUGGCAAGCGUUGUCCGGAUUUACUGGGUGUAAAGGGCGUGCAGCCGGAGAGACAAGUGAGAUGUGAAAUCCACGGGCUCAACCCGUGAACUGCAUUUGAAACUGUUUCCCUUGAGUGUCGGAGAGGUAAUCGGAAUUCCUUGUGUAGCGGUGAAAUGCGUAGAUAUAAGGAAGAACACCAGUGGCGAAGGCGGAUUACUGGACGAUAACUGACGGUGAGGCGCGAAAGCGUGGGGAGCAAACAGG
rnacentral:rRNA from 1 species